rnacentral:lncRNA from 1 species
GCGCCCGGGACUAGCGGUUUGGGAUGCUGAACUACGUUUCCCAGGAGCCUCGCGGGUGCAUCCUCGUUCGCCUUAUUCAACUAAACCUCCACGCAUAACCGCUGUGCACGGAUUCUGUUCCGUUCUGUGCAGAUUCGGCGUGGGCCUCUACCUUGAAAUAAAGCCCAGGAAACUAUACACCAGGAACAGUUGAUCAGCGAUGAGGGAGAGUCCAGCGGAGCGGCGCCUGAUGUGGUGACAAGAGCGGAUCGGUUAAGGUCUCCGGAGACAGUAGGAGAGCCAAAUGGCACGUUCUUGGAGAACGGUGCCAAAAAGACUCGAAAAGCUGGCGGGAUUGCGCCCUUUGCCCCGAAGAAGCACUGGGUAUUACCCAUCUGGCCCUGCAGUCGACCAGGACGUGGAUUCCGAGACGUCACGAUAAUUUCUUCAGUGGGAGGAAAUUUCUUUUAGUGCGAGGACAGGGACAUUGGGGUGAAGGCCCUUAGAGCAGGGCAGACUGCGACUCAGAACAGAGCUGAUGGCAGCUUGAACCCGGCUGGUGACUGAGGGAACCCAGAACGGUACUGAUAAAUGCCCAAGACAGAAUAGACUUACGUCUUGAUAACUUAUCAAACAGGGCUGAGGGAGGGGAAGGGAACUUGGAUCCCAAUGAGUCUUAUUCUUAAACAAGUGGAUAAUGUUUAGAAGUUGGUGUUUAUUUGUAUUGAGGAUGCAGUGAUGUGUAAGGAUAUUCCACUGGAGAUAUUUAGUUGCAUUUGAAUACAUGACUUUCAUGGAGCUCAGGAAGGAAAGAUUAGAGGGUUUUAACUUUGUUGUUGGUAAAAUAAAAUUUAAAAGGCAAGAAUGUCACUUGAGAUUUGCCACUUAAGGAAUUGUUGGCCACCUUUUAGGGAGCAACGUCAAUGACUUUAUGUGACACUAUAGCAUUCUAUUUGGGGUUUUAUUGAUGAUUUUAUUCCACCAACACCUUUAUCAACUCUAAAUACCCUUCCUCAGGAUAAUGGCUAGUUCCUACGUUUGUUUGCUAAACCCUGUUACAAGACCCCUGCAGUAAGGAUGUAGUAAAAGCUUCCUUUAGCUUCACUUCCUAUAACUUCCUUCUACUUAACGCCCUAAAUAUACACUGUAUUAGCCUUCUUGUAGUUACUCCUUUAUUCACACACACUCCCCCCCGCCCCAACUUCCCAUUUCCCUUGUCUUCUUUGCACCAACUGGCUCACUCCAAUGGUACCCUGUGCUAGGAGCUACUUUGCAGUAGGGACUAGGGGUCUUUCAUCCUAGAAUUGAUAGGAGCUGACUUACACACUAUGAGUAGGAGCAGUAUCUUAUCAUACUUGUUCAAAUGUACAGUGCAAAAGCAAUCAAGUGUGUGGACUGCAGGCAUGAACUUAUGCCAAAUGUGUAUAUACACAAGAAAGUAACCCACCUCAACUAUAUCCUAAGCACUCAUCCAGAUCUGGUGUGUGUGUGUGUGUGUGUGUGUGUGUGUAUGUGUGUGUUUAGAAGCCCAAUGCAGUCUCCAUAAUCAUCCAAGUUUAGGGGGCUGUUUAUGCAUUAUCUGCAAGAGGGGUACUGGCACCAUAGUCUGCUGCUCCACCUGUGUUACAGAACCCAGAUUGCUAACCUAUUUAAGUGUGUAAAUGGCCCAAUUUGUCUUUUGAGCUCAGUUACAGAUAAAAUAUAACUAAUCACCCCAUUCUGUGUAGUUGCAGAGGACCCUGCGUUUCUUGCUCUUUAGAAGUCAUUCAAUACAUCCAAAUUCUCUUUUACUGACUCUCCUGCCAUGAAUUCCUUUAGGGCUCUCGAUCCCCAGAAACUACUGAGAAGGUACUUAGUAAAUAUCUAAAGGCAUAUUGGUCAUGGCUAUCUGUCUGUUGCUCAUAGGCCUGACAACAUCUACAGUGACCAUAUGGUAGCCUCCACCCCACCAGCUGAUUGGAAAAGGGACAGAUACUUGGCCAAAAAAGUGACUUUUAAGACAGAGCCUGUCUUAAAAGGAUGAUCUGGACCAAUUAGGUUUCUUUCAUGAAAUUUUAGAAUUAAGAGAGAUACAAGGGUCAGAUAGGAGACCUGAUGAUUCUGGGUCACAUGAAUUUAAUUUUAAGUAAAGGAAGCCAAGGUAACUGAGAUAAUGGAAAAAACACAGCAAUGGGAGCCCAUAUGGUGGUGGUAGUAGUGACAAGGGGAAGGGCACAGAGAGAGCGCACCUACAAAUCCUUGGCUAAUGAUGGUUCUCAGUUGUCACAGAGUCUGGCUAUACUGCAUUUCAAGUGGCACACACAAAAAGUCCUCAAAUAUUAUAGAAGUUACAAUUCUACUUGAGAAUUGAGACCAAAGUAAGACUGGGUUUAACAAGAGGACGCUAUAACCAAGGUAUUCUCGCUCAGACCCUUACACUUUGAAUAUUCUAUCCAGGUGUUUUACAAAUAAAUAUCCUCCUUUCUCUCAUUUCAAGCACAGAGGAAUGAGGAGGAUGGAGCAAAUCACUGGCCAUGAGCUUCUCCACUAUUCUUCCCCAUUUCCUGCUUAAACACACCCCUUGACUCAUCCUGCUGAUUCUGGGGCUCCUUGACUAUACUCAUAUAUAAACUCAUAGAGUCUUGUGGAGAGCCAUUCUCACACGUGACUGGGCGACUCCCGGUUUGGGUCUGAGGCGCUCUGACUAAUCUGUGUCGGAGCUUUCCCGGCCCUCUCCUGAUGAGAGAACCCUUCCUUGUGGGGGUGUGACUGACCACUGACCCCGGGGGCCCAAUCACUGACCCUGACCUUGGAGUGUGGCCCCCCCUCAACCUUCAUUGGAUGGAAUUCUCCCCUGAAUUUCUUGUUCCCCAAUAAAAGGCUACUCCCUGGCGUGCUCGCCCUCUCUCUCUCCUGCUAGCGCCGAGUAAUCCUUGCUGCCCUACGGGUGGUUAAAGGUUGGAGCCAGAGAGGGGAGCCGUCUCGGACCUGGUCAUAGAAAAAGGUAACUGAGUCUGUGUGUUUUAUUUCGAUCUCUGCUAGCUAACUUUUAUGCCGAGAACCUCAUUAAUGAAACCAGUGCACUGGUCGCAUGGUGGAGAGUCUGAACAGGCAAAGAAGGAAUUUAACACUGAACUAAUUGUAUCCCCCAAAACUUAGAUUUUCAGUAAUUACUCUUUCUUAUAUCCAUUCUACUCCUUUCCCUUCAUAUGUUUGUAUUCCACCUGAUCUCAAGAGAAAGAAAUGAAUUAAGAAGAAGGGGGGCAGAGAAGGGAUGGGUAGAAAAGAAAUUAAAAUGACGAAGACAGCAGAAAAAUAAAGGUUCAAAAGGAAGGCAUAAAACAAGGGGGAGAGAAAGUAAUGAAGGUGCUGAAGCUUUGUAUGGCAAUGAGUUGAAGUCAGUAAGAUUUUAACCCUGAGUAGUGAUUGCCCAGAGACUCUGGACUGCUUAGGAGCUAAACAAUGAGAGAUUAUAGGCACUUACUCCACUAUUGCCCACAUUUUCUGGACCCACGAUUUAUUUAUUCCAACCACUCUUAUUAGAAAGUUUCCCUCCUCUUGUUGAAAGUAUUCCUAAAGCCUCUGUGUGCCAAAUCUUAUUUUCCUCGUCUGAGCUGUACAUCUACUCAUUGCUGUCUCCUGACUCUCUCAUGCCUCUUUUCAGUUGUAAACAUAAUCAUCCUAUCUUAUAUCAUGCAAACGCUCCCUGGUAGAUGGAUGGCUAAAUCAGCCCUAACCCCUUAAUUGGCCUACCUCUACUACAAAGGCUGAAAGGGCUAGGCUCUCCUUUUUUUAGCCUCCCUUGCUGCUAGGAGUGGUCAUGUAACAGUUGUGGCCCAUAAGAUGCAAGCAGGUGUGUGCUAAAGAGCUUCUGGGAAAUCUUUUCUGAUAAAAGGCACAGAUGUUGCUGGUCCUUCUCAAACCCUUUCUUCCUGAUUUGAAUGCAGACAUUUUACCUGAAGCUAUGGAUGCCAUCAUGCAACCAGGAUGGAAAUCCCUUGAAAUGUAAAUCAUUCAAUUAUCUUAUCUGUGGAUCAAUGCUGACCACCUCCACAUUUGUCAUUUGAGAAAAACACCCCUACUUGCCUAAAACAUUGUUAAGAAGGAUUCUGAAUAUCUGUAGCCAAAGGUCUUCUAAUAGGUAAAUCCCUUCUCAGCCCUCAUUUCCUUGGUCAUCUUUCUAAAUCUCUCCCAUAUCAGUAAAGCUACUAAGUCAUUUUCAACAUUUAACUCACUCUUCAAACACAUUAAAAUUUAUGUGUUUUAAAUUGAUAAUCAAAAACAAAGGUUAGAGCCAGGCACGAUGGCAUGAGCCUGUAAUCCCAGCAGCUCAGGAAGCUGAGGCAGAAGGAUCACAAGUUCAAAGCCAGCCUCAGCAAUGGCAAGGCGCUAAGCAACUCAGUGAGACCUGUCUUUAAAUAAAAUACAAAAUAGGGCCAGGGAUGUGGCUCAAUGGCUGAGUGUCCCUGAACCCAAUCUUCAUUACCCCCCCACCCAAAAAAGCAAAGUACAGGGCUGGGGAUACAGCUCAUUUGGUAGAGUGCUUGCCUCAUGCACAAGGCUCUGGGCUCAAUCCCCAGAACCAUAAAAAAAUUAAAGUACUUUAUUCUGAAGCAUUUGAUA